rnacentral:tRNA from 1 species
AAGUAUUUAGUCUAAAAGACAAUUGAUUUCGACUCAAUUAAUUUUGGUUUCAACCCAAAAAUACUUU